rnacentral:rRNA from 1 species
AGGCAGGCGGGUUGGCAAGUCAGAGGUGAAAUCCUACAGCUUAACUGUAGAACUGCCUUUGAGACUGCUAAUCUUGAGUACGGAAGAGAGAGAUGGAAUUCCAGGCGUAGUGGUGAAAUACGUAGAUAUCUGGAAGAACACCAGUGGCGAAGGCGAUCUCUUGGUCCUUUACUGACGCUAAGGCGCGAAAGCGUGGGGAGCAAACA